rnacentral:lncRNA from 10 species
CUUGUAUUGGGUUAGAACAUGCUCCUUUAACUCAAAGGAUUUUGGUAUUACCCACCUUCUGAAGCCUACUUCUGUCAAUUCAUCAAACUCAUUCUUCAUCCAGUUUUUUUCCCUUGCUGGUGAGGAGUUGUGUUCCUUUUGAAGAAAAGAGGCACUAUGAUUUUUGAAAUUUUCAGCCUUUUUGUGCUGUUUUAUCCUCAUCUUCGUGGAUUUAUCUAACUUUGGUCUUUGAUGUUGGUGACCUUCAAAUGGGGUUUUCUCCUCUUCAUCCUUUUUUUUUUUUUGAUGUUGAUGAUAUUGCUUUCUCUUUGUUAAUUUUCCUUUAACAGUCGGGCCCCUCUUCUGAAGGUCUGCUGGAGUUUGCUGGAGGUCCGCUCUAGAUCCUGUUUGCCUGGGUAUCACCAGCGGAGGCUGCAGAACAGCAAAGAUUGCUGCCUGCUCCUUCCUCUGGAAGCUUUGUCCCAGAGGGGCACCCACCAGAUGUCAGCUGAAGCUCUCCUGUAUGAGGUGUCUGUCGACCCCUGCUGGGAGGUGUCUCCUCGUCAGGAGGCUCAGGGGUCAGCGACCCACUUGAGGAGGCAGUCUGUCCCUUAGCAGAGCUCAAGCACUGUGCUGGAAGAUCCGCUGCUCUCUGCAGAGCCAGUAAGCAGAGUUGCCCUGUCCAGAGAGGAGGAAUCUAGAGACACAGUCUGACUACAGAGCCUUUGCUGCGCUGUGGUGGGCUCCGCCCAAUUUGAAAUUCCUGGUGGCUUUGUUUAUUUACACUCUGAGGGGAAAACUGCCUACUCAAGCCUCAGUAAUGGCGGAUGCCCCUCCCCCCACCAACCUUGAGCAUCCCAGGUUGACUUCAGACUGCUGUGCUGGCCGCGAUAAUUUCAAGCAAGUGGACCUUGGUUUGUUGGGAUCUGAGGGAGUGGCAUCCACUGAGCAAGACCACUUGGAUCCCUGGCUUCAGCCUUCUUUCCAGGGAAGUGUACAGUUUUGUCUCUCUGGUGUUCCAGGUGCCACUGGGGUAUGAGAAAAUACUCCUGCAUUUGCCCAAACAGCCACCCAGUUUUGUGCUUGAAAUCCAGGGCCCUCGUGGUGUAGGCCCCCAAGGGAAUCUCCUGGUCUGUAGGUUGUGAAGACUGUGGGAAAAACAUAGUAUCUGGGCCGGAUAGCACUGUCCCCCAUGGAGCAGUCCCUCACAGCUUCCCUUGGCGAGGGGAGGGAGUUCCCUGACCCCUUGCACUUCCUGGAUGAGAUGACACCUCACCCUGCUUCUGUUCACCCUCCAUGGGCUGCACCCACUGUCUAACCAGUCCCAAUGAGAUGAACUAGGUACCUCAGUUGGAAAUGCAGAAAUCACUUGCCUUCUGCAUUGGUCUUGCCUGGAGCUGCAGACCAGAGCUCUUCCUAUUCAGCCGUCUUGCCUGGGAAUCAAUUUUCCAUUUUCUGCAUGUGUAAAAUGGAGAAAAUAUUGACCUUUUAGAGAUGCUGGUAAUGUUCAUUGAGAGAAGGGCUUCAAACAUACAUUGGAGAUGGUCAAGUAUUGAUUAUUUUUAGUAAUAAAAUACAGCCUGAAUAUAUGGAAGGAGACUUCAUAUUUAAAAAUCAUUAGGGUCUAAUUUCAUCUCAUUCACUCAUAAGUUGUGUCAUACUGUGCAGAGCCCAUAAAAUUUCUCAGCAUCAUUUUUUCAACCGUAAGAUGGGAAAAAUCAUACUUCCUCUUAAAGAUAAGGAAAUAAGUCAUUGACAUAGUUUCUAUGAAAGUGUUUGGCACAUAGUAAGUGCUCAGUAUUAUUUUUUAUUUUUCCUUCUUUUCUUUUAUAGAUGUCUACUGUACACAACCCUGUCUGGGUAAAGACACUCAUGGGCAUCAUGAAGACAAUUAGGUCCUGGUGGAGAAGUGAGAAAUUUGGUAACAUUGGAAGAUGAACAAAAAGCAAUUUGAACGUUGGCCCAUUUUGUUUUAUUUUGUAUAAUUCCCUUUGAGCAUUUGUUUUGUUCUCCUUAGCAUGAACUGAGCAUUAACCUAGUAGGUCAUUUCUGUAGUUACUUUGCAACAUAGAUGCUUUUGGCAGUCUGAUAUAAUGUACUGACCCUUCUUAGAAUAAUACUUUGAAUGGAUAAAAUAAAAUAUAGAAGAUUACAAUGAAAACAAAUUGUAUUUAAAAGUACUUAUCAAAUUGUACAAAACAAAGUUUGUGAUAAAGAAAUAUACAUAUAUUUCUUUAUUAGUGCACUAAAUAGCAAGAUCUAAUUAUAGGUUUAAUAACCACCACAAUUUCAAAGUAGUGAUGAGCAAACAUGAUAUUCCAAGAUAUGUGCAACAACAGUAGUGUGAUGUGACCAUUUUGUAAUUUCUACUGACUAUAGAACUCAGACAUUAUCAAAACUAUUCUGAUUUGUUGCUUACAUUCAUAAUUGAAGGGAGAGCUAAGUUUCAGUUAAACGUUAGUAAAAGUAAAAAAUGUACUUUUUAUUCAUCUAUGUUCACAGAUACCUGCCUUAACCCCAGCAUGAGAGAGCCUUUAUAGUAAAUAUUUUAUAAUAUGGAAAAAUACCAUUGACAGGUAAAAUUAAAAAUGAAAAACAUCCCUCAAACAUAUUUGGUACUACAUACACCAAAUUGAUUGACGGAAAGCAGAACUAAAGUUGUAGGAGACCUUAUAAGCUAUUUAUUAUAUCCACUCUAUUUCAUAGCUUAUGGAUGCAGAAGUGAAAGGAAUUGUUUAUGGUCGCACAGUCAGGUAGUGGUGACAAACCAGAAUACAGAUCUCUUCAGUCCCAGAUCAAUGUUUUAAUUACUUUAAAUUAAUUUUGAAAUAUAGAUAUGUGACAGUUUUGCAAUCUCAUAAAGGUAAGUGAUCAACAAUAAGAGGCAGCAAUGCACUCUCUAUGCAUUUUACACUGAACUUAAGUCAUUGGUUUUAUUACACAGAUUACCAGACUAAAAGUUUAAUAUAGUCUGUUGUUUAGAGAGUAUCUCAAUUUUGGUCUAGUGUUUGGCAAAUAUCUAAGGAUAUUUCUAUUGAUAUGAUUGAGAAAGAAUGCACUUGACAGUGUAGCGAAGAUUUGUGAAUGGCUAAAGCCUCAUAACCAAGCAGAGUCAAUUAUGUCAACCUAGUUGGAGGUUUUUUAAAGUGUGCUGCAGGUGUUGGUCCUUAACUCUGACUCAAUAUUUUUAUUAAUAAUUUUUGGUGAGGACUUUAAUAGCAUAAAACAAUUGCAGAUGAUAAAAAACUGGGGCAGGGAGUGUAGAAUAAAUGAAUUAGAAAAUACACUCAGGAUCCCAGAACAUGUCCACAGGCUACACAAUGGUAGAUUGAGUAGAACCAGAUGGAAUUGAAGAGAGGUUUAUGUGAAGCUGCCAUUUGGUCUUGACAAUUGCACAGGCACAGAAUGGGAAAUUCUGGGGUGGCAUUGGUAUGUGAGGAAAAGUAAGGGAAGAAGGUGUUUCAGAAAAGCUCAGCAGUGGAAAGUGUAGCUAUAAAAGCUAUUGUGUGUUUGUUUAGCUAAGGUAACAACAACUGCUUUGAAUCAUAAUUCUAAAACCUCAGUCACUUAACACAGUGAAUUUUUUUCACCAAUAGAAAGUUUAAUAAGUGGUGACAGAGAAAGGUACUGAUCUUCACACAGUUACUGAGGGAUUCAGACUGACUGGAGGUUCUGCCAUGCUCAAAGUGUGACUCUCAAGAUCUUUAUGGGAGUUAAUACUCAGCUGGAAGAUUAGAAAAAAUAUGGAAGUAUUUACAUGCCAAGGCUAAAAGUGGUGAAUUAUCACUUCUACCUAUAUUCCAUUUCCUAGAAUUCAGUUAAAUGGCUAUACGCAGCAACAAGAGAGGCUAGAAAAUGUAGUUAAGUGCGUGACAAGCAGGAAAGUAAAACAUGUUAAAUGAACAUCCAGUCUGUCUUUGCCUUAAGCCAAAAUGGCUGAAAGUGGGUUAUGAUGGUUCUGAUCUCUUCUAACCUGACUGUGCACUUUAAAGGAGAAACAGACUAACUGGAUAGGAGUAAGUAGGCUGGAGACAAAGCUGGAUUUCAGGUUCCAUAAAUAGUGGUUGAAAGGAGCUGGAGCAGCAUGCCUAGAGAAGAAAGAGAAGGUUCAGAAAUGUGGUCUCCGUCUUCAGACCUCCGAAGAGCUGUCAUUGUAACGAAGAAGACAAGGUCUGCUGUGGCCUGAAUGUGUCCUCCCAAAUUCAUGUGCUAAAACAUAAUGGCCAAUGUGAUAGUAUUAAAAGGUAGAGCUUUUAGGCGAUAAAAUUAAGUCAUGAGGGCAGAACUCUUAUCGCUGAGAUUGGGGCUCUUAAGGAAGGGCUUGGGAGAGUCGGUUUGUUCUCUUCUGCUCUUCAUUAUGUGAGAGCACAUCAUUUAUCCCCCUUUUGCCUUAAAAAAUCCCUUCCACCAUAUGAGGAUGCAGCAAGAGUGCCCUCACUAGGAACUAAAUGCCAGCAACUGGAUAUUUUACUUCCCAGGUUCCAUAGCUGUAAGAAAUAAAUUUAUUUCAUUUAUAAAUUACCCAGUCUAUGGUAUAUUGUGAUAGAAGCAUGAAUGGACUAAGACAGGGACUGUGUGUUUGCAGGUGGUAGAGCUGGGACUUGUAGGUGAAAGCCACAGGGAGGCUGGUUUCAGCUCAAUAGAAGGAAGAAUUGUCAUCAGAUGAAAGAAGCUGCUUUUGGAAAUAGUGAGCUGUUCAACACCAGAGAUAUGCAAAGGUUGGAUGACGCAUCUCACAGGGAUAAUGUUGAAAUGAUUCCUCUAUUUUGUGGAAGAUUGCACUACUAGAUCUAAGACUCUUUCCACUUCUGAGAUGCUGUAAUUGUACAUUUUUUCCUGCUGUAAUUUUAGGCUUAUUUGUCUCUUUCUAGUAUGUGAAGAAGAAUACCAGCUGAAGAAAAUGAAUAAAAAUAAAAGUUUAUGAAAAAUAAAAAUCAGGACAAAAG